rnacentral:lncRNA from 1 species
GGGAGCUAAGGGUAAAAAUAAUUUUUUUAUUAAUUUUUCAUACUAAUAUGGAGUUCAUAUCAACACAUGGACAUGUUUGAUAAAAAAACAAAAGUUAAGGGAUUAUAUUAGCCAUUCUGGAAGUUAAGACCCUUGGUGCAAAGUUCAGGUGCAAAGUUCGGGACCAAAAUGUUGAGAGAUUCAUGCAUAGAUUAAAGUCAUUCAUAUCUAACAUAUAUAACCACUCUUUUGGAAGUGGAACUGUUGGAGGCAUCCCAACUUUGUUCCGGCGCCAAUACGUUAC